AUGGCUGCACCUCCAAAGAGAGAAAGUGUGGAGGUUACCUGUGUCAGGGCCACGAGGCUGGAAGGAGAUAACGCAUUAAGGGAAGCAGUGCAUCUUCACCGUGUCGUACUCCUGAUUUUUCUGCAUAGAGUGACACUUGCCUUGUGCUAUUCAGCAAAAACAAAAGCACAGCACCAGUGAACUAGAUAUCCUUGCUUAGAAAGAAUAAGAUUAAUAGAUAUAUUAAUAUAGAUUUUUUUGUUUUGUUUAUUUCAUGACUUCAAAU
rnacentral:lncRNA from 1 species